rnacentral:rRNA from 5 species
GCAUAUCAAUAAGCGGAGGAAAAGAAACCAACAGGGAUUGCCCUAGUAACGGCGAGUGAAGCGGCAACAGCUCAAAUUUGAAAUCUGGCCCUCGGGUCCGAGUUGUAAUUUGUAGAGGAUGCUUUUGGUGCGGUGCCUUCCGAGUUCCCUGGAACGGGACGCCAUAGAGGGUGAGAGCCCCGUCUGGUUGGACACCAAGCCUCUGUAAAGCUCCUUCGACGAGUCGAGUAGUUUGGGAAUGCUGCUCUAAAUGGGAGGUAUAUGUCUUCUAAAGCUAAAUACCGGCCAGAGACCGAUAGCGCACAAGUAGAGUGAUCGAAAGAUGAAAAGCACUUUGAAAAGAGGGUUAAACAGUACGUGAAAUUGUUGAAAGGGAAGCGCUUGCGACCAGACUUGGGCCCGGUUAAUCAUCCAGCGUUCUCGCUGGUGCACUUGGCCGGCCCAGGCCAGCAUCAGUUUGGCGCGGGGGAUAAAGGCUUCGGGAAUGUGGCUCCCCCGGGAGUGUUAUAGCCCGUUGUGCAAUACCCUGCGCUGGACUGAGGUUCGCGCAUCUGCAAGGAUGCUGGCGUAAUGGUCAUUAGCGACCCGUCUUGAAACACGGACC